GCUCAACCGGGGAGGGUCAUUGGAAACUGGGGAACUUGAGUGCAGAAGAGGAGAGUGGAAUUCCACGUGUAGCGGUGAAAUGCGUAGAGAUGUGGAGGAACACCAGUGGCGAAGGCGACUCUCUGGUCUGUAACUGACGCUGAGGCGCGAAAGCGUGGGGGCGAACAGGAUUAGAUACCCUGGUAGUCCACGCCGUAAACGAUGAGUGCUAAGUGUUAGAGGGUUUCCGCCCUUUAGUGCUGCAGCAAACGCAUUAAGCACUCCGCCUGGGGAGUACGGUCGCAAGACUGAAACUCAAAGGAAUUGACGGGGGCCCGCACAAGCGGUGGAGCAUGUGGUUUAAUUCGAAGCAACGCGAAGAACCUUACCAGGUCUUGACAUUCUCUGACAACCCUAGAGAUAGGGCUUCCCCUUCGGGGGCAGAGUGACGGGUGGUGCAUGGUUGUCGUCAUCUCGUGUCGUGAGAUGUUGGGUUAAGUCCCGCAACGAGCGCAACCCUUGAUCUUAGUUGCCAGCAUUCAGUUGGGCACUCUAAGGUGACUGCCGGUGACAAACCGGAGGAAGGUGGGGAUGACGUCAAAUCAUCAUGCCCCUUAUGACCUGGGCUACACACGUGCUACAAUGGGCAGAACAAAG
rnacentral:rRNA from 1 species